GAUGAACGCUGGCGGCGUGCCUAAUACAUGCAAGUCGAACGCUUCACUUCGGUGAAGAGUGGCGAACGGGUGAGUAAUACAUAAGUAACCUGGCAUCUACAGGGGGAUAACUGAUGGAAACGUCAGCUAAGACCGCAUAGGUGUAGAGAUCGCAUGAACUCUAUAUGAAAAGUGCUACGGGACUGGUUGAUGAUGGACUUAUGGCGCAUUAGCUUGUUGGUAGGGUAACGGCCUACCAAGGCGACGAUGCGUAGCCGACCUGAGAGGGUGACCGGCCACACUGGGACUGAGACACGGCCCAGACUCCUACGGGAGGCAGCAGUAGGGAAUUUUCGGCAAUGGGGGAAACCCUGACCGAGCAACGCCGCGUGAAGGAAGAAGUAAUUCGUUAUGUAAACUUCUGUCAUAGAGGAAGAACGGUGGAUAUAGGGAAUGAUAUCCAAGUGACGGUACUCUAUAAGAAAGCCACGGCUAACUACGUG
rnacentral:rRNA from 1 species